UACGGGGGGGGCAAGCGUUGUUCGGAAUUACUGGGCGUAAAGGGCUCGUAGGCGGCCAACUAAGUCGGACGUGAAAUCCCUCGGCUUAACCGGGGAACUGCGUCCGAUACUGGAUGGCUUGAGUUUGGGAGAGGGAUGCGGAAUUCCAGGUGUAGCGGUGAAAUGCGUAGAUAUCUGGAGGAAUACCGGUGGCGAAGGCGGCAUCCUGGACCGACAUUGACGCUGAGGAGCGAAAGCUAGGGGAGCAAACGGG
rnacentral:rRNA from 1 species